rnacentral:snoRNA from 1 species
GAGUGAUGAUGAGAUUGAGAGAGAUAAUGAGAAGGGAGGGCGGGAGGGAGAAGUAACAAAAGUGAAAACAAUUUCAAGCAGAUUUUAGUUUUAAGUUUUAGUUUUCACUUUUGUUACUCAUCUCUCCCAUCUUCCUCCCAACUUCCCUCUCAAGUUCAUCUUUACUCU